UCGAGCGGAUGACGGGAGCUGCUCCUUGAUUCAGCGGCGGACGGGUGAGUAAUGCCUGGGAAUCUGCCUGGUAGUGGGGGACAACGUUUCGAAAGGAACGCUAAUACCGCAUACGUCCUACGGGAGAAAGCAGGGGACCUUCGGGCCUUGCGCUAUCAGAUGAGCCUAGGUCGGAUUAGCUAGUUGGUGGGGUAAUGGCUCACCAAGGCGACGAUCCGUAACUGGUCUGAGAGGAUGAUCAGUCACACUGGAACUGAGACACGGUCCAGACUCCUACGGGAGGCAGCAGUGGGGAAUAUUGGACAAUGGGCGAAAGCCUGAUCCAGCCAUGCCGCGUGUGUGAAGAACGUCUUCGGAUUGUAAAGCACUUUAAGUUGGGAGGAAGGGCAGUAAGCUAAUACCUUGCUGUUUUGACGUUACCGACAGAAUAAGCACCGGCUAACUCUGUG
rnacentral:rRNA from 1 species